AUAGAUUUGAAAAGUGUUAUAUUACAUUAAAGGGUUAUUCAUAGAAUAUAAUGUUAUUAAUAAUGAAGGUUACUAAUAAUUAAUUAUAAUUUUAUUAUAAUUAAUUUAAAACCUAAGGGAAACCAUAAUAAAUAUACGUGAUGAACUGAAUCAUCUAAGUAAUCAUAGGAAAGAAAAUCAAACGAGAUAUUGUGAGUAACGGCGAGUGAAAUCAAUGGAGCCUAAAAUAAGUACUAUUUUUAAUUAAGUAGGAAUAUGGAUUAAAACUAAAUCUAAGGCUAAAUAUUAUUAAUAAGCAUAAAAAGUACUGAAAAGGAAAAUAUAUAAAUGGAUAAUCUAUAAGCAUCAUGAGAUUCUGAACGAAUUUAGUGAGUACCUUUUGCAUAAUGGGCCAGCAAGUAAUUAUUUACAGCAAAGUAAUUUAAAUAUUACUAAACAUAAAUGGAAUAUAUAAUAAAUUUUGAAAUUAAAAUUUGAAGAAUGUGAAAUUAAGAAUAAUAUUAUAUUUAGAUAUAAUAUAUUCUUGUGAAGUUGUAAGUAAUUGGCCCGAAAAUAAAAGAUCUUAUUAUUUCAAGGUAUAUAAUUUUUUAAAUUUAUUGACCGGAUGAGUGUAUGUUGCAGUAUACUUCAAUUAGAGAUGAUAAGUAAGUGAAAGACUAACCUGUUUUAUAGAUAGCUGGUUCUCUGUGAAAUAUAUGUUAGUAUAGCGAUUAACAAAAAUUAAUUAUAUGGUAUAGCAAUUAAUAUUUAAGUUAUCAUUAAAUUAUUAUUUAAAAUAGUUUAAUGAUAAAUGGGGGUCAAUUAAUGACUUAUCAUGUAUAUUUAACCUCAUAAUAAUAUAAUUAAUGUUAAUUAGUCAGACUGUAUGCGAUAAGGUAUAUAGUCAAGAGGGAAACAGCCCCGAAUAAAAUUUAAGGCUCCAAAAUAUAAUGAAAAAUCAUUUUUUUUUUAAUGAUGAAGUAAUGAUUUGUACAUUUUUAAUGUAUAGAUAGAUUAAGUGAAUUUAAUAUAGUAAAUUUCUAAACCAAUUAGUUGGUGGGUUUGACAAUAACCAUCCUAUAAUGAACAUGUAACAAUGCACUAAUUUUAGAUAAUGAAUAUUAUCAAAAGGAAAUUUAUUAUAGAUAAUAUACGGAUCUUAAUUAAUAACGAAAGUUAUUAUCUAAAUCUAUUGCCGAAAAUUUAUAUAUUAAUAUAUAAAGAAUAAAUGUAUUAAUAUGGUAACAGAGCAUAUAAUAAAUAAUAUAUAAUAGUUAGAUCAAUUAUUAUAUUAUAAUAAAUCAUAAUAUGAUUUUAUUUAUAUUAAUAAGUAUAAACUUAUUAAUAAUAUUAAUUAUAUUGAGAAUGCUGGCAUGAGUAACGAAAAAUAAGUAAUAUAAUUUUAAAUUAUAUAUAAAGCUUAUUCAUUUAAUACAUAAGGUUUUACUAUAAAUUCGGUCCUUAAGCUAGUAUAUAGUUUUAAUAUAUGCGAUAGGUUUAAUAUAUAUUGAAGAUUAUCAUUAAUAAAUAGUUAGUAAUAAUUAUUUGUAUUAUUAAUGAGCAAGAAAUAAUCAAUGUUAAAACCGUAAUUAAGACCGACACAGGUGUGUAUAGUAGAGAAUAUGAAAAUGAAUGGGAGAGGGCUUUGGUAAGGAACUCGGCAAAAAUCACCCCUACGUUAGUCAAUAAAGGGAAUAUAUUUAAUAAAAUAAAUAUAAUUAAAGAUAGAGUUAUACAACUGUUUACUAAAAACACAGCACGGUGCAGACAUAAAAAUGUUAGUAUACCGUGUGAAUCCUGCCCCAUGAUUAAAGGAUAAAAUACUUUCUGUAAAAGGAGAGUCUCGAAUCUUUAGUCAAAUGGCAGCCUUAUUCUGAGGGUUAUAAUGUAGCAAAAUGCCUUGGCUACUAAUUAUAGUCUCGCAUGAAUGGAGUAAUGAUAUAACAACUGUCUCGCCAAUCCCCCCAGUGAAAUUGGAUUAGCAGUGAAGAUACUGUUAAAUUGCAGGUAGACGGAAAGACCCUAUGCAGCUUUACUACAUAUAGAUAGACUGUUAUGUAUUUAUAAUUAUUCAGUUUAUAAAGUAAUAUAAGAAUUAGGUUUCGACCUUAAAGUAGGUAUUCAAUUGAGAAACUUUUUGUUUAUAGAUAUAUAACUUAUCUUUAUUCUAUAUAAUGCUAAAUAGCUAUAUAGUAAGUCUUGUGAAAGAUGAAUUAAAGAGAAAGUCUCUGUUAGGUAGUUUUGAUGGGGCGUCAUUCUCAUAUAAAUAAACUGAGUAAGUCCUUUAUAGGAAUAAUAUUAAUUAAGAAAUUAAAAUAUGAAUUAAUCAUAUUGAUUAUAUAUAUACAAAUAAUAUUUAUUGAUAAAAUAGAUAUAUUUGAAUAAAUAAUAGAAAAAAGAAAGUAUAGUUAAAUUGUCAUGAAAACAAUAAAUUAAAACUAAUUUAAACAAUAUAAUAGUAUAACUAUGCAUAAAUUACGAUCAUCUACAAAUGGAGUAAAUACGUAAGUAUGGUAUAAUGAACAUUUACUAUAAAUAGUUUUAGGUAAAGAUAACGGAUAAAAGUUACGCUAGGGAUAACAGGGUAAUACAGUGAAAUAGUACAUAUAGUAAACUGUGUUUGCCACCUCGAUGUCGACUCGCCUUAUCCUACUGGUUGUAGCAGCUAGUAAGGGUUUGACUGUUCGUCAAAUAAAAAGGUACGUGAGUUGGGUUAAAUACGUCGUGAGACAGUAUGGUUCCUAUCUUCUGUAAUGAAUAGUAUAAAGAUGAGGCUGUUAAUUAGUACGAAAGGAUCAUUAACAAUUAAUCAAUGGUGAAUUAUUAAAUUUAUUAUAUUUUUUUAUUAUUAAAAACAUAUUAAAUAUUGAUACAUAUCUUAAAUUUUUUUAUGUAAUAAAUUUAUGUAGUUUAGCUAAAUUAAUAAAUUAUAAGUAUUGAAAGCAUAUAAAAUACGAAUUUGUCUCAUGGAUAUACAUAAUGAGUAAUUAUACACUAUGAUUUUUAAAAUAGUUAUUGGCUAUAUUAGUCGAAUAAACUAAUUAACUCAAUUUGUAAUAUAACUUCUAAUCU
rnacentral:rRNA from 1 species